AGCAUUUGUCCUUGAUUCACAACUCAGUCUCUUAGGUAUUCUCAUAGGAUAUCCUUAGGCUUUGAAUUCUGCAAGUCAUUUGGAGAGAAAAGGAUGACUACUGCUCUGGGUGUUCCUGCUCCAGUAGUGCAUGGAAAGAUCAAUUUGGGCAUUAAGCUUUAGCUUUUACCCUCUUACAAGCCUGCCAAGCACCUCACAGUCAUGAUCGUAUUCUUCUGAGAGAAAAUGGUGUGUGACUGUAGUAGAAGCAAAACCAAAUCAAUGGCGUGGUUGUCACCUACUUCCUGCAUGAAGAGAAUCAGGACCUAAGUGGUUUUUCUCUUCUCCAUGAAUUAAUGAAGUAAAGGACAGCAGCAGCAGGAUGUUUUCCUCCCGGACCGACAUCAAAGUGGGAUGAGAAACGUGUUUCCUUAAACAGCAGGGAACCUUCUGAGUGAAUAUCUCGAGGGAGCAGGACAUAUCGAACACUGAGAAGCUCCCAAGGACAGAAUGCCCACAAGGAUCCAUGGCUGCAUCUUUCCUGUGUUGAGGGCAGAGAAGCAAUCCUGCCUGGGGAGCACCAGCAUGGGAAGUAAACACCCUGCCAGGAAGUGUAUGAGCUUUAAUGCUGUGCUGUUUUACAGUUCACUGCCCCUAGACUGAACACUGUCAUUAGUUUUGAUCUAACGAAUGAACAGAGGACAGAAUGUACCUAGAUUACUUAAGGCUUUUAGAUUUGUGCUUUUUUGUUUUAUUAUUUAAAGUUGGUUUU